GAGUGAAAUGAGGAGGAAAGAUUCCCUAUUGGUUUGAGUGCCGGAAUGAUGGCAUUCUGUAUUAGCUCUAUCUGAUCACUC